rnacentral:rRNA from 1 species
AUGCAGUCGACGCGAUACAUUCGGUAGCAAUACUGGAUGUGUCGAGUGGCGCAAGGGUGCGUAACACGUGGGUAAUUUGCCAUGAAGACUGGGAUAAUCCCGAGAAAUCGGGACUAAUACCGGAUGUGAUUGAGAUCUGGCAUCAGGAUUCAAUCAAAGGUGGGGACCUGUUAAAGGGCCUGCCGUUUCAUGAUAAGCCCGCGGCCUAUCAGCUAGUUGGUUGAGGUAACGGCUCACCAAGGCUAAGACGGGUAGCUGGUCUGAGAGGACGACCAGCCUCACUGGAACUGAGACACGGUCCAGACACCUACGGGUGGCAGCAGUCGAGAAUUUUUCUCAAUGGGGGAAACCCUGAAGGAGCGACGCCGCGUGGGGGGUGAAGGGCUUCGGCUCGUAAACCCCUGUCAUUUGCGAACAAAGUUCACUAUUUAACAGGUGGUGAAUUGAUAGUAGCGAAAGAGGAAGGGACGGCUAACUCUGUGCCAGCAGCCGCGGUAAUACAGAGGUCCCAAGCGUUGUUCGGAUUCACUGGGCGUAAAGGGUGCGUAGGUGGCUACUUUAAGUUUGAUGUGAAAGCUCCGGGCUCAACCCGGAAAUGGCAUUGAAGACUAUUGAGCUAGAGGUUUGGAGGGGGGACUGGAAAUGCUUGGUGUAGCAGUGAAAUGCGUAGAUAUCAAGCGGAACACCGGUGGCGAAAGGCGAGUCCCUGGACAACACCUGACACUGAGCACGAAAGCUAGGGGAGCAAACAGGAUUAGAUACCCUGGUAGUCCUAGCUGUAAACGGUGCACGUUUGCUGUA